UGGAUGUGAUGACGACUCCCAGGCCUGACCCAUCUCCCCGUGGAGGCAGAAACUGAUUUAAUGAGCCUGAUCC